AGCGAACGUUAGCGGCGCGCCUAACACAUGCAAGUCGCACGAGAAAGGGCUUCGGCCCCGGUAAAGUGGCGCACGGGUGAGUAACACGUGGGCAACCUGCCCAACCCUGGGGGAUAACCUGCCGAAAGGCGGGCUAAUACCGCGUAAGAGGGCUCGACUUCGGUCGGGUUCUGAAAGCAGGCCUCUGUAUACACGCUGGGGGGGGUGGAUGGGCCCGCGCUCCAUCAGCUAGUUGGUGAGGUAACGGCUCACCAAGGCUACGACGGAUAGCUGGUCUGAGAGGAUGAUCAGCCACACUGGAACUGAGACACGGUCCAGACUCCUACGGGAGGCAGCAGUGGGGAAUCUUGCGCAAUGGACGAAAGUCUGACGCAGCGACGCCGCGUGGGUGACGAAGGCCUUCGGGUUGUAAAGCCCUGUGGGGUGAGACGAACAGCUGGGGUUCAAAUAGGGCCUCGGUCUGACGGUAUCACCUUAGCAAGCACCGGCUAACUCUGUGCCAGCCGCCGCGGUAAAAC
rnacentral:rRNA from 1 species